rnacentral:rRNA from 1 species
UACGUAGGGUGCAAGCGUUGUCCGGAAUUAUUGGGCGUAAAGAGCUCGUAGGCGGUUCGUCGCGUCGGCUGUGAAAACCUGAGGCUCAACCUCAGGCCUGCAGUCGAUACGGGCGGACUUGAGUACUGCAGGGGAGACUGGAAUUCCUGGUGUAGCGGUGAAAUGCGCAGAUAUCGGGAGGAACACCGGUGGCGAAGGCGGUUCUCUGGGCCUGUACUGACGCUGAGGAGCGAAAGCGUGGGGAGCGAACAGG